GACGGAGGAUGCAAGUGUUAUCCGGAAUCACUGGGCGUAAAGCGUCUGUAGGUGGUCAAAUAAGUCAACUGUUAAAUCUUGAGGCUCAACCUCAAAAUCGCAGUCGAAACUAUUAGACUAGAGUAUAGUAGGGGUAAAGGGAAUUUCCAGUGGAGCGGUGAAAUGCGUAGAUAUCUGAAGGAACAUCAGUGGCGAAAGCGACUUCCUGGACCAAUACUGACGCUCAUGUGCGAAAGCGUGGGGAGCAAACAGG
rnacentral:rRNA from 1 species